CUGAGUACGGCGGAACACGUGAAAUUCCGUCGGAAUCCGGGAGGACCAUCUCCCAAGGCUAAAUACUCCCUAGUGACCGAUAGUGAACCAGUACCGUGAGGGAAAGGUGAAAAGCACCCCGGAAGGGGAGUGAAACAGUUCCUGAAACCGUGUGCCUACAAGUAGUUAGAGCCCGUUAAUGGGUGAUAGCGUGCCUUUUGUAGAAUGAACCGGCGAGUUACGAUUUGUUGCAAGGUUAAGCGGAAAAAGCGGAGCCGUAGCGAAAGCGAGUCUGAAUAGGGCGCAUAAGUAACAGGUCGUAGACCCGAAACCAGGUGAUCUACCCAUGUCCAGGAUGAAGGUAAGGUAAUACUUACUGGAGGUCCGAACCCACGCACGUUGAAAAGUGCGGGGAUGAGGUGUGGGUAGCGGAGAAAUUCCAAUCGAACUUGGAGAUAGCUGGUUCUCUCCGAAAUAGCUUUAGGGCUAGCCUCGAGGUAAAGAGUCAUGGAGGUAGAGCACUGUUUGGACUAGGGGCCCUUCUCGGGUUACCGAAUUCAGAUAAACUCCGAAUGCCAUGUACUUAUACUCGGGAGUCAGACUGCGAGUGAUAAGAUCCGUAGUCGAAAGGGAAACAGCCCAGACCACCAGUUAAGGUCCCCAAAUAUAUGUUAAGUGGAAAAGGAUGUGGGGUUGCUUAGACAACCAGGAUGUUGGCUUAGAAGCAGCCACCAUUGAAAGAGUGCGUAAUAGCUCACUGGUCGAGUGACCCCGCGCCGAAAAUGUACCGGGGCUAAACAUAUUACCGAAACUGUGGAUGAACCUCUUUAGAGGUUCGUGGUAGGAGAGCGUUCUAAGGGCGGUGAAGUCAGACCGGAAGGACUGGUGGAGCGCUUAGAAGUGAGAAUGCCGGUAUGAGUAGCGAAAGAAGGGUGAGAAUCCCUUCCACCGAAUAUCUAAGGUUUCCUGAGGAAGGCUCGUCCGCUCAGGGUUAGUCGGGACCUAAGCCGA
rnacentral:rRNA from 1 species